CACGUAGGGUGCGAGCGUUGUCCGGAAUUAUUGGGCGUAAAGAGCUCGUAGGCGGUGUGUCGCGUCGGCCGUGAAAACCUGCAGCUUAACUGUGGGCGUGCGGUCGAUACGGGCAUCACUGGAGUUCGGCAGGGGAGACGUGGAAUUCCUGGUGUAGCGGUGAAAUGCGCAGAUAUCAGGAGGAACACCGGUGGCGAAGGCGGGUCUCUGGGCCGAUACUGACACUGAGGAGCGAAAGGCGUGGGGAGCGAACAGG
rnacentral:rRNA from 1 species